AUGUCGAUCAAUAAAUAUGCCAUAGCAAUACUAUACAGCAAAGCUGGGAUGUUAUAUUACAUAGUUUAUCAGAGAAAACAUAAAAAUACUCCAGCUUCCAACGAAAUAGCCAUGGAUGAAGAUGAACAUGUCCAGGACAUGCCAUACACAUCUUUUUCAUCAUUCACAUACCCUUUUCGGUUUUCCCUUUCCUUAUCCCUUUUCUAA